CGAACGGGUGAGUAACGCGUGAGGAACCUGCCUCAAAGAGGGGGACAACAGUUGGAAACGACUGCUAAUACCGCAUAAGCCCACGGCUCGGCAUCGAGCAGAGGGAAAAGGAGUGAUCCGCUUUGAGAUGGCCUCGCGUCCGAUUAGCUAGUUGGUGAGGUAACGGCCCACCAAGGCAACGAUCGGUAGCCGGACUGGGAGGUUGAACGGCCACAUUGGGACUGAGACACGGCCCAA
rnacentral:rRNA from 1 species